GGCCGCCUGGCGAAAUGGCAUCGCGUCUGACUACGAUAAUGAAGGAAUCAGGAGAUUGCAGGUUCGACCCCUGCGGUGGUCA